rnacentral:rRNA from 1 species
AAACUCAAAGGAAUUGACGGGGCCCGCACAAGCGGAGGAACAUGUGGUUUAAUUCGAUGAUACGCGAGGAACCUUACCUGGGCUUAAAUGUAGAGUGCAUUUUUUAGAGAUAGAAAUUCCCUUCGGGGCUUUCUGCAAGGUGCUGCAUGGUUGUCGUCAGCUCGUGCCGUGAGGUGUCGGGUUAAGUCCCAUAACGAGCGCAACCCUUAUCGUUAGUUGCCAUCUGGUAAUGCAGGGGACUCUAGCGAAACUGCCACCGUAAGGUGAGAGGAAGGUGGGGAUGACGUCAAAUCAGCACGGCCCUUAUGUCCAGGGCUACACACGUGUUACAAUGGUCGGUACAGAGGGCAGCUACCUGGUGACAGGAUGCUAAUCUCGAAAACCGGUCUCAGUUCGGAUAGUAGUCUGCAACUCGACUACUUGAAGUCGGAAUCGCUAGUAAUGGCGGAUCAGCAUGCCGCGGUGAAUACGUUCCCGGGCCUU